GAUGAACGCUGGCGGCGUGCCUAAUACAUGCAAGUCGAGCGAACGGACGAGAAGCUUGCUUCUCUGAUGUUAGCGGCGGACGGGUGAGUAACACGUGGAUAACCUACCUAUAAGACUGGGAUAACUUCGGGAAACCGGAGCUAAUACCGGAUAAUAUUUUGGACCGCAUGGUUCAAAAGUGAAAGACGGUCUUGCUGUCACUUAUAGAUGGAUCCGCGCUGCAUUAGCUAGUUGGUAAGGUAACGGCUUACCAAGGCAACGAUGCAUAGCCGACCUGAGAGGGUGAUCGGCCACACUGGAACUGAGACACGGUCCAGACUCCUACGGGAGGCAGCAGUAGGGAAUCUUCCGCAAUGGGCGAAAGCCUGACGGAGCAACGCCGCGUGAGUGAUGAAGGUCUUCGGAUCGUAAAACUCUGUUAUUAGGGAAGAACAUAUGUGUAAGUAACUGUGCACAUCUUGACGGUACCUAAUCAGAAAGCCACGGGUAACUACGUG
rnacentral:rRNA from 1 species